rnacentral:ncRNA from 2 species
AAAAAAAUGAAAGCGCUAGGGCUAAAAUACCAAAUAUUUUAGUUGACGAGGAGAGAGAAUUAUCGAGACUAUCAGCGGGUAUUCUCUGGGUUGUAACAACCUAAAAGAUAAUAACAAACCUUAUAAGUAAUUAUAUGAACAAAAAUAUCUUAGUUACUAA